GGCAGAUGUCCUCACUCUGGGUCUACAGAUGGGACUCAGAUGUGCAGGGAGGAAGCACUCAAAGGGAGGGCCGGCCCCUCACCCAGUGUUUCUGAUGCUUGCCCUGUCCUGCACCUGGAAAGGCUGGGAGUAGACACAUGUGAAGGAAGAGAACAGAGCAGACCUGCCUUCCAGGGACAGGAGGGAGCCACGCUGUGCAUGUCCUGCUCUGUCUGAUGGCUGCCACCCGUGGAAAGUGACUUCCGGAAGGUGGGAGCCUGCAGGCAUGGCGGAAGAGACCACUGAGUUAUGGAUCAUAAAUCACUGGGGCCACUUGUGGAACCCAGCCUAAAAUCUCCAGCAGCCAAGAUGAGGCUGCCAGGUGAGUGAGGGGGAAGACAGGGGAUCACAGUCACACUUUGGCCAGCUGGGACAAGCUGUCCCCUGUCGUUACACCUUGUGAGGUGACGGAGAACAAGGGGUCAGAAUCACCCUAACAAGGCUGCAUCCACUGCUGCUGGAAGGCUUGGUGCAUCACCACUGGAAGGAGGCUGGAUGGCGCGGUCAUUCUUCCUAUGCACAGGCAUACAGUUUGCCUUCCCCUUAGGCCACUGUGGGAUGAGAAUUCCAGGAGAAAACGCAGGAAGGAUGCUUGCUAUUUAAUAACAAGCUUGAGGAAAUCACAACAGAGAGGAGGAAGCAAACAGCCUGACAAGUCAGGAUGGCAGCGUGGGGGCCAGCGCCCCCAGUUCACCCACCAUGGGCAUGAUCCAGGAGGCCAGGCAGGGCUGGAAUUAAGAGCACAGGUUUUGGAGUCUCCCAAUCUCACCUGGAAUUCCAGCCUCACCUCUUACUACACACUGGCCUUGGGUAAAUCAUUCUGUCUCUCCAAUACUUAGUGUUCCUUAUCCACUAGGGGAUUAAAUGAGAUUCUGGAGUGCCCAGCACACAGCCCAUCAAGACCUGUAGGUGUGUCACACUCCACGUUGUCACCAUGACAUCAGCAACCCCUCCUCUUCCCCCACGGAGUCUUCCCCACUUUCUGAAGUCUGAAGAACUGGGACUGGAACAUGUCCAAGGGGCUGCUCGUCACUGCCGGAGGGAGAACUGUUCAGACACUGUCGUCACACAGUCACAGAAAGACUCAGAACUUCAUUGCUACUUUAUUUGUUGUUUUCUGCCUUUAGGAUACUUCCUUAUGAUAAAAAAU
rnacentral:lncRNA from 1 species